rnacentral:rRNA from 1 species
GUUGAUCCUGCCGGAGGUCACUGCUAUCGGGGUUCGAUUAAGCCAUGCGGGUCGAGAGGGUUCAGACCCUCGGCGGACUGCUCAGUAACACGUGGAUAAUCUGCCCUAUGGUGGAGGAUAACCCCGGGAAACUGGGGAUAAUACUCCAUAAGUCAGGAGUACUGGAAUGUCUCCUAACUGAAAGUUGCGGCGCCAUAGGAUGAAUCUGCGGCCGAUUAGGUAGUUGUUGGGGUAACGGCCCAACAAGCCCGUAAUCGGUACGGGUUGUGGGAGCAAGAGCCCGGAGAUGGAAUCUGAGACACGAUUCCAGGCCCUACGGGGCGCAGCAGGCGCGAAAACUUUACAAUGCAGGAAACUGUGAUAAGGGAACCCCGAGUGCCCGUACACGCGGGCUGUCCCGGUGUUUAAAACACAUCGGAAGAAAGGGCCGGGCAAGACCGGUGCCAGCCGCCGCGGUAAUACCGGCGGCUCGAGUGGUGACCACUUUUAUUGGGCUUAAAGCGUUCGUAGCUUGAUUUUUAAGUCUCUUGGGAAAUCUCACGGCUUAACUGUGAGGCGUCUAAGAGAUACUGGGAAUCUAGGGACCGGGAGAGGUAAGAGGUACUUCAGGGGUAGAAGUGAAAUUCUGUAAUCCUUGAGGGACCACCGAUGGCGAAGGCAUCUUACCAGAACGGCUUCGACAGUGAGGAACGAAAGCUGGGGGAGCGAACGGGAUUAGAUACCCCGGUAGUCCCAGCCGUAAACUAUGCGCGUUAGGUGUGCCUGUAACUACGAGUUACCGGGGUGCCGAAGUGAAAACGUGAAACGUGCCGCCUGGGAAGUACGGUCGCAAGGCUGAAACUUAAAGGAAUUGGCGGGGGAGCACCACAACGGGUGGAGCCUGCGGUUUAAUUGGACUCAACGCCGGGCAGCUCACCGGAUAGGACAGCGGAAUGAUAGCCGGGCUGAAGACCUUGCUUGACCAGCUGAGAGGAGGUGCAUGGCCGUCGUCAGUUCGUACUGUGAAGCAUCCUGUUUAGUCAGGCAACGAGCGAGACCCU